rnacentral:hammerhead_ribozyme from 1 species
AUUUAGCUGACGAAUCCUAAAUAGGACGAAACGCAUGUCCUGGAU